CUGGACUGGAUCGAUGCCUACCUCUUCUUUCCUCCUCUCUCUUGCCUCUCUGCAUACUGCGACUUACGUCCUCGCUCUUCGCCGCUUCUUUUCUCUCGAUCUUCGCCGCUUCUUACUUUCUCAAGCGAUUGAUUUGGGGUUCGUCAAAGUUUCAGCUAUGCUGCCUAAAUUCAGAACUUCCAAGAGGAAAGCGUUUUUCAGAACACCAGAAAAUUUGCAACCAGAACUUACAGGUCAUGAGACAGCAGCACCUUCGCAUAGUAAAGGGUGUACCAAGCAGCUUGCACUGUUCAUAUGGUACCCUGGAACUUACAUCUUCAUCCCUGUUUCCAGUGUAAUCACGCUUCUGCCAUUUUCGUCUUACAUACUCAACCGCCUCAGCCGCCAGCGCAUAUCGCGCGUGUCUUCCUUCUAUUGCGACGCAGAAAGAGAUUGAGAUGGAUGAGAGAGCCUGAGAGAGUGAAAGAGAGGCCGAUUGAGGUUUGAGAAUUGAGACUGACGAUUGUUGUGGUUGUUGUAACCAUGCCCCAUCUGCAAAACCGAAAAGAAGAUCUAACCUGUUAAUAGGGCGAGAUAAGAGAGAGCAAAAGGUGUGUCGAUCGAUCGAUGGGGGCUGAACAGAAGAGAAAGCGGGAAGAGAGAGCGUGAGAGAAGAGGACGGCGAGAUGGGAAGAAAUCGAUAUAUGGAGGGUAAAAAACUCGCUCUUUGCCGCUUAUAUCUUCUGGAUGUUCGCCGCUUCUUUCCCUGUCAUAGUGGUGCUACUAGAAUCAGAAGAUUCAAAGCGAAAUUGAAUGGUGAUACUUUUUGGCCCAAAAACAUAAUCAAGAUAUAACUACUCAAUGCAAUUGCAGCAGCAUGAGAUCCAUUUGAAAAAGCCCUCAUCUACUGUAGUAACAGAUCUCAACUCCAGUUGAUGAGUUGAUUGGGGACCCAUGAUCACCAUUAGAACAAAUACAAAUCUACCUGGCUCACCUGAUGGAUAACUCAAAGUCAAUAUUGGAGGCACAGAGAUACCAGAAUUUCACAUGGGAUGAAGAUAGUGAUUUAAGCUGGUCCUCUUGGCUUGACAGUAACUUACCAGAAGAUGAAGACUGUUCUGAAGACCCUGACUACUUAGUUCCAAAAGCAGUAGCAAUUCAUUCUACUGAUUUACGUAAUAUCAGAAUAAUUUGUAUUUCUGUGGAGAGUACAAGUUGAAAAAUGCGUUGUUCAUAAUCCAGAGGUAACGGUGAGAAUUGCCCUGUAUGAGGGACGAUGGAACUUCAACAACAAGGUGUUAAUUGUCUUUUACAUGUCAUCUAUUAGUUACUCAUGCAGCUGAUGGUAAAGGAAUCUCAGUCUAUUGCCAUGAAAAUUUUCCCCUGCUCAAGUUGUUUUUUAUGCCUCAUUAUUAAAUCUAAUCUUUUGCUUUUCUCACACUAAAACAUGAAAUUUCCAGACGAUAUUUGCAAAACCUGAUUUGCUUCCUUUAUUUUCUGUAAGCUUUUACUUCUCAAUACUUUGCUAUGUACUUGGCUCAACUAAUCUUUCACUUGAUUAUCUAAAUAUGAUUUUUUUACAUAUUUUAGGUACUAGGGCAGUACAUUUGUGGUCUCUAUAGGUAGAGGUGAAGGUGCAAUAGAAAGGAACCCAACAGGAACCCAACAUAACUAGGCAUAUGUUAUGUUGGUUUAUUAUGCACAGGCUUUUGGUUAGACUGAUGUUUGCAUCUACUUUGUUAUGCAGGAAAUAUAAUUGUCUGUUGUGGUUCAUAUUUAGCUUCCCCUCAACAUCGACAACACCAAUUGCUGGGUAUAG